CACAGACAGCAGGAUGAAGUAGCUGCAGCUGGAGCUACAGAAAUAGCAGAUACCUGCUCACCCUUUUCAUCAUCACUUCUGACCCUCAGCAGUGGCCUUCACUUGGGCCUCUAAUCCUCCAGGUCUGAUGGCUGCAGGAUGAGGAUAGCACACUGUUCAGCAGAGACCCAGCCUGAUCUGAACUGAAAGGUUCUUUGUUAUCACGAAUGGAUACGUCAAUAACUCUGUGACAUCAUCGGGAGAUCUGGAUUAUUUAUGUAUGCAUCAUGGUAAAAGCUCCUGUGUCUCCUUGAACUAGUCUUAUCUUCAGUCCUUCAGUGUAACAUGCGUCCCUUCUGGUCAUCCUUCACCUCAGACCUCCAUGCAUCCCUCCUCUGGUCAGACUGCAGCCUCAGCCCCCAGCUCUGACAGGACUACAACCAGCCAGACUAGUUUGCCAUGUCUGUAUUUACUUUGUGUAUUCAUCAACAUCAUCAACAUGUGCAUAAGCCAGUCAUAUUGGCUGUAUUAUGUAUGAUUUCAUCAAAUAUAUUGA